GACGAACGCUGGCGGCGUGCUUAACACAUGCAAGUCGAACGAUGAACCGGGUGCUUGCACUUGGGGAUUAGUGGCGAACGGGUGAGUAACACGUGAGUAACCUGCCCUGGACUCUGGGAUAACCCCGAGAAAUCGGAGCUAAUACCGGAUAGGACCUUUCCUCGCAUGAGGUUUGGUGGAAAGUUUUUCGGUCUGGGAUGGACUCGCGGCCUAUCAGCUUAUUGGUGAGGUGACGGCUCACCAAGGCCAAGAUGCUUAGCAGGUGUGAGAGCACGACCUGCGCCACUGGCACUGGGACACUGGCCAGACUCCUACGGGAGGCUGCAGUCGAGGAUCUUCGGCAAUGGGCGCAAGCCUGACCGAGCGACGCCGCGUGAGCGAUGAAGGCCUUCGGGUUGUAAAGCUCUGUCGGGGGGGAGAAAGGGGCGACCUUGAUCGACCCCCGGAGGAAGUACGGGCUAAGUUCGUGCCAGCAGCCGCCGUAACAC
rnacentral:rRNA from 1 species